GGAGGGUGCAAGCGUUAUCCGGAUUCACUGGGUUUAAAGGGUGCGUAGGUGGAUUGGUAAGUCCGUGGUGAAAUCCCCGAGCUUAACUCGGGAACUGCCGUGGAUACUAUCAAUCUUGAAUACUGUGGAGGUAAGCGGAAUAUGUCAUGUAGCGGUGAAAUGCUUAGAUAUGACAUAGAACACCGAUAGCGGAGGCAGCUUGCUACACAGUCAUUGACACUGAGGCACGAAAGCGUGGGGAGCAAACAGGAUUAGAUACCCUGGUAGUCCACGCCCUAAACGAUGAUUACUCGACAUACGCGAUACACUGUGUGUGUCUGAGCGAAAGCAUUAAGUAAUCCACCUGGGAAGUACGACCGCAAGGUUGAA
rnacentral:rRNA from 1 species